rnacentral:lncRNA from 1 species
GCCUGAGCCCAAGUAUUGAUGGAGAUUAGGGAUCGAAUCUCUUGGAUAGAAGAGUUAUGGACCCAUCUAGCUCGUCGAAAUCUUGAUAAGUACUACCUUUACUACCAUGACCAUAGACACGAUAUCGAAGAAUGUCUUUAGCUUUGGGAUGAAAUUGAGGAGCUUAUUCGGUGUGGGUGCUUGGAUCGGUUCAUCAGGUGUCGGCAGGAGC